rnacentral:rRNA from 1 species
CUCAUCUCUCGAUCCAUUUCCAUUUCACUCAACAGUCGACACGGCAAUGCCACCACAUAUUUUCGUGGACGCCUUGAGUGCAUGGUUACCAGCGUUACCAGUACGGCGCCAGAAGCCCAUAACGCUCGUCUUUCUUCGACGACAUGGCCGUCUCGCCUCUUGCACUCGUGCUCCUCCUCCUCGCCUUCGCCGUGUCUCUCUUGUACAUCCUCCGUAGGCCCGCCCCUCUGCGCAGCGGCAGCGAUGGAGGACGGAGGCAUCUUCCGCCGUCACCGCGCGGCCUCCCGCUGCUCGGCCACCUACAUCUCCUCGGCUCGUUGCCGCACCGGGCCCUGCGGUCCCUGGCCGCCGCACACGGCCCGGUCCUGCUGCUCCGGCUCGGCCGCGUGCCCGCCGUGGUCGUGUCCUCGCCGGCCGCCGCGGAGGAGGUGAUGAGGGCCCGCGACCUGGCCUUCGCGAGCCGGCCCCGGAGCGCCAUGGCCGACCGGCUCCUCUACGGGCGCGACGUAGCGUUCGCGCCCUACGGCGAGUACUGGCGCCAGGCGCGCCGCGUGUGCGUGGUCCACCUCCUCAGCCCGCUCCGCAUCCUCUCCUUCCGCGGCGUCCGGGAGGAGGAGGCCGCCGCGCUGGUCGAGCGCGUCCGCGGAGCGGCGGCGGGCGGCGCCGCUGUGGACCUGUGUGAGCUCCUCGUCGCCUACGCCAACACGGUGGUCUCGCGCGCCGCGUUCGGGGACGACAGCGCGCGCGGCCUGUAUGAGGAAGGCAACAAGGAACGCGAGCUGAGGAAGGUGUUCAACGACUUCCAGGAGCUGCUCGGCACGGCGCCUCUGGGGGAGCUCCUGCCGUGGCUGGGGUGGUUGGACGCCGUGAGGGGGAUGGAGGGGAAGAUCAGACGGACGUUCAAGGCGCUCGACGGUGUGCUCGAGAAGGUGAUCGGCGACCACCGCCGCCGGCGUCAAGCCGGCCAGCAGACGGGAGAUGACGGCGGCGAUCACAGGGAUUUCGUGGACGUGUUGUUGGACGUGAGCGAUACUGAUGACGAAGCUGGCAUGCGUCUCAGCACGACCGAAAUCAAGGCCAUCAUUUUGGUACAGUACGUGUUUAUUAUGCCGCCGUGCUCGUUGUUAGUGGUUAACAUGUUUCUUGUACGUACGUCGUCGACGCGCAGGACAUGUUCGCGGCGGGCACGGACACGACGAGCACGGCAAUGGAGUGGGCCAUGGCGGAGGUCAUCACGCACCCAGACAGCAUGCGUAAGCUCCAGGACGAGCUCAGGGCGGCCGUCGGUGGCUCCGGGCACGUCAUCACCGAGGACCACAUCGACAAGCUGCACUACCUCAAGGCGGUGGUCAAGGAGACGCUACGCCUGCACCCACCGAUCCCGCUCCUCGUGCCCCGAGAGCCACAAGACGACGCCGAGAUACUCGGCCACCACGUCCCGGCGGGCACGCGGGUGGUCAUCAACGCGUGGGCCGUCGGCCGGGACCCGGCGGCGUGGGAGCGCGCCGAGGAGUUCGUACCGGAGAGGUUUCUCGACGGCGCGGUGGACUACAAGGGGCAGGACUUCCAGCUGAUACCGUUCGGUGCUGGGCGGCGGGGGUGCCCCGGGGUCGGAUUCGCCGCGGCGACCGUUGAGAUGGCGCUGGCGAGUUUGAUGUACCAUUUCGACUGGGAGCCGGCCGGGGCGUCGCUGGACAUGCGCGAGGUGAACGGGCUCGCCGUGCAUCUCAAGUCCGGCCUGCCGCUUGUCGCUAAACUGCGGUUUCGUUAGAUAAACUUGUUGCUAUGCAAGAAGAACAAUAAUCCUACAUCUACGUACAGCAGACGAAGACUAACGUAAACUGCCUAACUAAUUAACUUCGGCCCCCCUGAUUUUCAGGUGGGUGGGGCCCCUUCCUCCCCCUUCUCCAAUACUAAUUAGCCACGUUGCACUUUACGUAAAACACGUAACAUUAUUUACGUAAGUGUAGCAUUGCUCGCAAGAAGAAACUGUGAAAAUCUGUAAAAAUGUAUUGUAGUGUUUGCUUCAAAGCCUAACCGAAUCUUGCAUGGAUCUCAGUAUUGUAGUGUACUGUAGGGUUUCAUGGAGAAUUGAGGUAUAUGAGAGAAUUCAAACUGGAGGCAGAAGGCAAAAGGAGCAAAGAGAAGGUAGGGAGACGACUAAUUUCUUUUCGUUUUUUAGUCUACUGAUUUCAUUUCUUAUGACCCCAUCAGAACAGUGGUUCAACGUAACGUAUAUAUCCUCGACAGUCGACACUCCAGGCCAUGGGCCAAAUGCUCACACACUUGCAUGCGAAUUUUCUUUUAAAAUGUUGACAUCUUUAUAAAAUCUCGAAACUAUAUUUCUCUUUGAAAAAAGGAAAAUUUAUCUCCUCGUCGUUGCCGUCGCGAACGAAGAGUUACCCUUCGAUGCAGUCGUGGAUAAAGAGAUGGUCUUCGGACCAGUUUUUUUGGGCGAUUCUACCAGAUUCGCCCCCCUCCCCAGCUUCUCCCAGAAUCACC